rnacentral:sRNA from 1 species
CCCGUCCGUCCCGUGGACGCCACUGACCGUACGGCCCGCCGGGGGCUACCCUGGCCGGGUGCGCCUUCCGCGGGAAGGUGGGCGGGUGGUCCGGCGGCCGAGCCGUACGUCCCCGCCGAUCCCCGUCACCGGGCGCAAAGCCGACAGCCGUCGCACUCCAGGGAGCAUCUUCCAUG